rnacentral:rRNA from 1 species
AUGAGUGUAUUUCUCGUCGCAGCCCUGGUGGCCUGCCUUGUCAGCCAUGGAGCCGGCGCGGCCAUGGCUUCGGCAGCUUGGGAGGACCAAGAUUUCUUCAGAAACUGUCCGCCGUCUCGGUGCAGCAGAGAUGGACCUCAGAUCCGGUUCCCGCUCCAGCUCCUUGAUUCCAGCAACACAUCAUCAUCAUCAUCAUCAUCCUCACCCUGCGGCGCGACGACAUGCGUGAAACUAGCAUGCUCAGGCCAAGACACCAUCAUGCUUCACCCACUUCUUGGCCCAUGCCGUGUCACCGCCAUAAAUUACACCGGUGCCUCCCUCAGCAUCACCCCGCUUGCCUCCGCAUGCACGAUGAUUCAGAAGCUCGUCUCGACAAGUUCACCACCGGCUGACGCCGGCUACCGCUGCGCGCCACACUACGCCGGAGCUGGAAUGCUUGUAGGCUGCUCAAGGGAGUUCACGCCAAGCGGGAUCACUCAGUAUCCUGUCUAUGAUGACAGAGGUGCUUUCUGUGCUUCUGCCUCGGCCGCCGCUGCCAUCGCUGGCCCAAUCUCCUGCCUUGACAACGCAACUCACUUCUCGUAUUUGGUGGCAACUGAUGCUUUCAUGUAUGAUCUUCCAUUGGACUGCAAGGUCAUCUCAGAUGCCAACAUCCCAAUAUUUGGCAUAGGAUAUUACGGCUCAGCAUCCAAGCAUGGCGCGGAGCGAAAUCGUGUGCACACUUGCUCGCUCACGCACAAAAAGGAUGUUUUCCAUUUUUACCCCCGUGUCGGCCGGGGACACUGUAGCGAAACAUCCGCAUCCCUUCCCUCACACACUCGCCCGCAUCCCUCCCUCUCUCACGCUCGCCCGCAUCGCCGGUGCCGACGUCCUCUCCCUCGCACCUCUCUCGCCCGCGCCGCCUCUCCCCGAGCUCCUCGCUCGCCCGCGUCGUCGGCACCCUCUCCCUCGCGUGCGUCGCCGGCGCUCUCCAACACCAGCUCCAUUGUUAAAAAUGCGAUUUUUCCCCCUCCGGCCCUCCGAUCUGCAGUGGCGGUCCUCGAUCUGCUGCGGCGACUAUCAAGACGGCACGACGGAGCUGCUACUGCCUGUCGCCUGCCUAGAGCUUCUGCUGCCGGUUGCCUGCCCGGAGCUGCUGCUGUAGGUCGUCUGCCUAGAUCUGCUGCUUCAGGCGAUGCCCACAUCGCCGUCUCCAUCCCGCUCCUCUUCCUCCUCCUCGUUGGUUACUUUACCACCUCAGCAUCAACGGCGGGGGGCUGGGAGGGGGAGGGGUGGAUGGGCCCUUCUUCAAGGCCUACAACCAUCACAGAGCAGAGCAGGAAGCUCGUCUCCGAGGUGAGGAUUUACUGUAGCCGCUUCAGUUAA